ACACUCCUGCGGGAGGCAGCAGUGGGGAAUAUUGGACAAUGGGCGCAAGCCUGAUCCAGCCAUGCCGCGUGAGUGAUGAAGGCCCUAGGGUUGUAAAGCUCUUUCACCGGUGAAGAUAAUGACGGUAACCGGAGAAGAAGCCCCGGCUAACUUCGUGCCAGCAGCCGCGGUAAUACGAAGGGGGCUAGCGUUGUUCGGAUUUACUGGGCGUAAAGCGCACGUAGGCGGACUAUUAAGUCAGGGGUGAAAUCCCGGGGCUCAACCCCGGAACUGCCUUUGAUACUGGUAGUCUUGAGUUCGAGAGAGGUGAGUGGAAUGCCGAGUGUAGAGGUGAAAUUCGUAGAUAUUCGGAGGAACGCCAGUGGCGAAGGCGGCUCACUGGCUCGAUACUGACGCUGAGGUGCGAAAGCGUGGGGAGCAAACAGGAUUAGAAACCCUAGUAGUCCCAUGA
rnacentral:rRNA from 1 species